UCUACCAGCCUACCAGUUACCAUCUCAAGGAGCUGACAGCCCACUGGCAUAAAGAACAUCACUUCCUCCAAGCUGGUGUCACUGGGGACUGUCCCAUGAAUGAUUAAAUACUGUCACAUCAUUUAUCCUCAGCUUGAAAACUUGUCCAUUGAGUGAUGCCCUGUCUUCAAAUCAACCUCUUCAAUCCCGUCCUCCCCAUGUCCUCACUAAGCCUGCCCAGCACAAAGCUGCCAACUAGUCACCGGCUUUCUGUUUCGUGAGUCCUGUUCUCUGAGUGCCACAAACCCAAGGAACUCAGUCUAUGUUCAAAGGUCUACUUGAUAGGUGGCCAGAUUAACUUAUGAAGCUAAGUCAAGCAGGAUUGGAGGCUAACUGAAUUUCACCGAGACUGCACAUCAGAAGCCUAAGGAUUCUUUUUCAUGCCUGGAUCAGCCAAAAUGACAAUUUUACAAACUCACUUGAAAAUCUCUGAAAGUAGACACAGCUGAUUGCAGAUAAGGGAACGAGGCUCUGAUGUGAUACUGCCAUUGGAGGCAAGCCCAAACGAGCUUUUGCAUAAGUUGUAACAUUAGGAAGAAUCAUGUAGUCUACACUGCCUUUCAGCAAACCUAAUACAGCGACUGUGCUACCCAACAGUUUUGAAACCACAAUGAAAACUAAGUACUCAUGGAAUCUGGACCAGGAGCCCAAGGCAGAGGCAAGAGGAAAAUGAGAGCAGCAGAUAUCUAAGUUACAGAACUUGUUAACUUGCAAGCAUGGGGGAGAAAGCCCACCUCAGAUAGUCAGUUCACCCUGACUCAUAAUUCCUCCCUCUUUCUUACCUCACUGGACACUCAAGUCCACUCAGCAGUACCCACCACCCAGCUACAUUCCAGACCUCACUUCCACCUCUCGCCACACUUCCUCCAGAAUAGGUGCCCCUUUAAUCCUCUUUGCCUUAGCCAUCUGGAGUCUCUUUGCCUUUACAAGACAUCAAAUCACUCCACCUUCAUCCAGUCCCUCAACACCCCAUGUGGAACCGCCAUCACUAAAUGAAGGGGGAAAGUUCAUUCCGUACUCGAGUUUUCCACAAGGAGGGACCUUCCAUGAAGAAACAUUCCUAUGGUCGGUCUAUGCCCCACUCAACCUCCUGACAAGGAGCAAUGACUUAACCUUGUGACUUUGAGGAAAGAAACAAGGCAGGUACGGUUCAGCCCCUUUCCAAGCUCCACUCAGAAUCUGCUGCCUGCAAGAUCAUGCUUUUCUCUACUUCUUCAGGCUCAAAAUUGUUUAGGGGAAGGGGGAAGGGUGUGGAAGACAGCUUCACUUCAGGAGGAGCCUGCAGGUGACAAGUGCUGACCACUAUCAAAGGGCCACCUGUCUAUUCAGAGGUAAAACAGUAGUAAUUUCCUUGGACCUAAAGGUAAUGGCAGUUAUCUAAGGUACUUUUAUCUGUCAUAAGGCUGACAUUUUAGUCUCCAACUAUCUGAUUCCUCUAUUUCUCCAUGGCUGCUGAACAUGGGUAGAAAGGAGGGUACUAUUUAUUGUGUUCCCUGAAGUCACAACAAUUAAUACUUCACCUACAAUGUCUCCUCCCUCCCUCCCUCCCUCCCUCCCAUCCUUCCUUCCUUCCUUUCAUUUUAUUUUAUUUUUGUAGCUGUCUGAGAUUGUGCAGAUUCUUGAGAAGGGCAAGCAACAGUGCAGACCUCAUCAUUAGAUUUCAAGUGGGCCUCAGUGCUACACCACAACCUUUUCAUGGAUCUCUUUAUUAAACAUCCCCCAAAGGGUCCAGCUAAAUGUCCUUGGCCUCACACACUCUCAUGCCCUCUUUCCACACAUAACUUCCCUCCCUACUUUGGAGAAGAGUAAGGCUCUAUUAGCAUAAAUGUUCUCCCCUAGUCAGUCACUUCUCAUCAACCUAUCUUUGUUUCCAUAGAGGUACUUGUCUCUCUCUGCAGGAACAGAGGAAAAAAACACCCAAUCUCCUUGCUAAGCAAAUCCUUCCCCUUGUGUUCUUGAUUCCAGCCCCUACUGCCUCCUCUAGAACCCCGUUCCCUCAUUCCCUCCCUUCUCCACUCUCAUUAGUAUCUUCCAUGGCUCCCACUCCAUGGGUGCAUUUCCAAGGGAAUACAGGUCUCACUUUUACUUGGGGGCAGAGGAUUGUGGGCACUUAGCCUUAGUCCUCCUCUUCUCUUA